CACGUAGGGUGCGAGCGUUGUCCGGAAUUAUUGGGCGUAAAGAGCUUGUAGGCGGUUUGUCGCGUCUGCUGUGAAAUUUCGGGGCUCAACCCCGAACUUGCAGUGGGUACGGGCAGGACUAGAGUGUGGUAGGGGAGACUGGAAUUCCUGGUGUAGCGGUGAAAUGCGCAGAUAUCAGGAGGAACACCGAUGGCGAAGGCAGGUCUCUGGGCCAUAACUGACGCUGAGAAGCGAAAGCAUGGGGAGCAACAGG
rnacentral:rRNA from 1 species